AGGAGAGGAGUUGUUCCCCUGCUGCACCAUGGGGUCCCUGCUGGAGACACUUCUCCAUGAACUUCUCCAAGGAAACAGAAAGGAGGAGAUGUGGGAAUUGUCCCAGCUGUGACGCGAAGUCAGCCAGAUUUUACCCCAAAAGAACUGGGCAUUAGUUUCAAGCCCUGGGAAUCAUUCGUUUAAUUUAAGGUGAGCCUGAGAGUUCCCCCAUAAGCCUGUGGUGUUAUUAUGUUAAGUUGUCCAAGUUCUGCUCCCCUAUUGAUUACUUGUUUCCCAUAUAUGGUUAUAGUUCCAGAAUGUUCCACCCCCAAGUGUAUAUGUUGCUGCUUCCCCUUUGUUUUGGGUCUCUGGAUGCUGCCCCUCACACUGUGCUCAGCUACUCCCCAUUUGCUGUUUUCACCCUUUAUUAAAGUUCUUUCCAGGCAACUCCAUCGAACCCACUCCUUUUCAUUUUCGUCACCUUUGCCCUGAAGUUAGGGAACCAAAGAGGUUUGCUGCAGCCAUCCUCACCACGACAGUGAUGGAUCUUAAUCACUGCAGGACACUUUGGUUUGAUAACUGCUCACUGGAGCUUGGCUUUGAAAAGUGUUCCUGUCAUGGGAGGAGUUGAUGCAGAUUAUCAAGGAGGAAUUAAAGUAAUUAAUGUAAUUAAAGUCACUGAACAAUAAUGAGUAAGGUGUGAUUAUUCAACCCCAUGACAGGGUAGCACAGUUAUUGAUAUUGCAGUUUUAAAAACAAUUGUGAAAAAAGGAGAUGCACAUUCAAAUAUCACUGUUGUUGGAGAUAAAGGGUUUGAAUCCAUCAGUCCUAAUAAUGGAGCCAAAGCGUGGGUCCAGAGGCCAAGACGCCCUCCUAAUCCAGCUGAAGGAACAGCUGUGGGGAAAGACAACACUGUUUGAAUCCUGAAACCAAAAUCACCAAGAAAAGGGGGCUAAAAUCACCCCCACAGGCCUAAGAUCCACCCAUAUAGGUUUAAAAUCAUCCAAAGGGACCUAAAAUCCCCACUAAAGUGCUUGAAAUCACUCAGAUCUAAAACCCACCCUAAACCUGCCCAGCUUGGCCUAAAAUCACCCAAACGGGCCUAAAAUCUCAGGGACUGGGCCCAAGACUGGGACCAGAACUGAUACCAGAACCAAGACCAGCACCACUCUGGGACAGGCACCAUUACUGGGACCGAAACUGAAACCAGCACCAGAACUGGCACUGGGACAAAGACUAAGACUAAGACUGACACUGGGACUUGCUAGCGGGAGUGCUCCGGGACCAGGACCAGGACUGGAACUGAGACCAGCACUGACACCAGGACCUCUCUGGGACCGGGACCAGGAUGGAGACUAUCUGGAGCAUUGCGGGACUGAGACCAAGACUAGCAUUGGAAUCAGCACCGAGACUGGCAGCGCUCUGGGACUGGGACUGAGGCUGGCACAGGGAGCACUCCAGGAACAAGACUGGCACAGGUACCAGCAUUAGAACCAGGACAAUUCAGAGACCGAGUCUGAGAUGAGGACUGAAACCAGAAGCGGCACCAGCACCAAGACUGGCACUGCUCUCGGACUCAAACUGAGACCAGGACCAGCACAGCUGGUUGACAUUGAGAUCAACAGCAGGAUGAAAAUCAGCACUGGGAGUGCUCCAGGA